rnacentral:lncRNA from 1 species
UAGUGACAGACAGAACUCUGCUUGCAGACUUUUCCACCAAGCUGGGGCAGAAGUUUCUUGUUCAUAAAGUAUGAGAACUUGCUAUAUAGAGAAAUAUAUUCAUCAUGAACAACCACUAUCAUGGCUUUGGGUCCCCAAAAGAAGUCUUGAAUGGUAGGGUUAGUAUCACUUGCUGCAAGACAUACCCAGAUGUUGCCUUCAAAUGAUUUUUCCCGUUCCAAAUUGCAUUGACCUCCACACCGCUUUUGAGUAAACACCUGCACCUUACCUCUUGAGCAAACUCCAAGUAAAAACUGACCAUUUCCUAUCGUCAACCAAUUUGAAGCAACAACCUCUGCAUCAAAAUAUAAAGUGUCUUCUAGUAUAAAACUGCCAGCAUCCUCAAUUCGCACACAUUCCCAUAUAUGAAUAGCAAAAGUACUUAAGUGACCUUUCGAGGUGGUUGCAAUUUUUCUGCCACAGACACUUGCAGAUAUAGUCAAAAUAGGGCCUUGCUGCAAAGCAAUCCUACCAACAAGAUCCCAUUGAGAAUUCGAGCUCCCAGCAGGCACACUUCUCCAUAAUAGCAAGUUACCAUCAAGACAACCAGUGACCAUAUGAUAAGCAAAGUAGUUUCUAUAUAAAUUAUUAGCAAAAAUUUCUUCAGUUAAACCAGAGUUUGUGGGACAGAUCACAGCAUAACUUGAAAUCUUAUCAUUGUCAUGGGGCUCUGGCAAAACUGAUGAAGAAGGUUCAACAGAGACAAGGUACGUAUAACCAGAAUAACUACUCUCAAAUUUACAUAUAUUGUUCUGCAAGGUGUUUGCACUGUCAAAACUGCAACCACAGCGUGUUUCCGACAACUCAAGUGAUGAAGGUCAAUUUUCCAUGAUAAUGCCUCAAAGCCUUUUUCCCACACAGCAAACAGCAAAAAGCUAUUUAAAAUAGUUUUGUUACAAGUGGAAGGCAACGGAAUUGAAAAGACGCUAUCCGGGCCCUGUCCAUGACUUCCAGCAGUAAGUGAUAUAGUACAUAUUUUGUCACAAACUAUUUCCAAUUCUUCAGUUUUCACAGCCUUAACUACUAAUAAAUCUAUUCCAUCUGCAUGUCCAAUGACAAUAAUGCGUUCUUCACUUAACAGAGUGGGUGCCCAUCUUAAGCUUGUAUACUUGGGUUGUUGAGGGAGUGCAAUCGCACCUUUCCCAAACAGUUUCCAAGAUGGGCUCAAAGUUGGGAGGCCCACAAUAGUAUUUGAAGCAGAAGAAAACAACCAAAAGAGGAGCUUUCCAUCAGUGUCCAGGGAGGCAGCAAAUUCCAACUCAGAUAAACAAGGAUGAAUUGCAACUUGCAGAAUUUUACUGCAGUGACUGUCUGCAUCUGAAAGUCCCCUUGCACAUAGUGAUAGUAAACAUUCAGUCUGACAUUUAUUUGGAGGCGACUCGUCUGUGCUACUCAAUUCUGAAGAUAACUCAUCACCUUUGGGGAAUUUUGAAGAAUAUAACUGCAUCCAGGCUAGAGAGUUACUUGGUAAUAGACUAAUAAAAGAACACACUGCUGGUGGACCAAAGACCUGAUUUCUCAUGAUAAGGACUUUAUUUAAGAGUAAUCCCCUUGACCUCGUUAGGACCGUUCAACUCUUUUCUUUUCCACAAUGUCACCCUUGGGGCUCUCACUGGAGAAAAAUCAUCAAGACAAUGAAUAGCCCAAAAGGUCAGUGUUGCUUGAGGACCUACAGCAAUCAACCACUCACACCUACCAGCAUUGCUUUGUUGAUGUUCAUCUGAUGAGGAAUAUGUCACAGCUUCCUCAUUGACAGUUAUUAUACCAUUAAUAUCAGUUGCCCAUCUUACAGACACAUCCAAGCCCAGCAUUCCAUUUAAUGCUUGGUUUACCUCAACUACAGCGACAACACGAAAAGAGAAUUUACUCAGUUUGUGAUCAUUACUAUCCUUGCCUAUUUUUCUAACCCUCCCAUCAUCAAUCUCAUUCCAGAGCCUUACAGCUCCAUCUAAACAGCAUGUUAAUAACACCAACCUCCUAGAAUAGCUGCCAUUUCUAGUUGAAUGUGUAACUAAAGAUGGUCUCCACUGAAUCAUAGAAACUGGUAACGGAUGGGGUAGCAUAGCUUCUGAUUGUCUGGAGUCUGCAUCUCUUUGACAUACCAAAACACAUUUGUGUCCUGCAUGGAUUUUUGAACUCGAACCUUCACUAUGUGAAGGUGCAGCAGCCAAAGGUCCUUCAAUUGACCAAGUAGCAGAAAUCAGAGUCUGAGGCAGUUCUGGUUUAAAUCUCCAAGCUAUUUCCCACGACCUCUCCUUCUUUCUCCAUAAUAUCAAUUCAAUGCCACCUGAAACUAUCCCAUCUCCUGAUCCCGUCCAUGUGAUUGAGUCCACCUUUGUAGAUUGUACUAGUGUUGAGGUCUGGCUCCAACAAAAAGAACCUGAAUAUGAGUAAAUAAAUUUAUACAUCUAGAGGAAGGAGGAUCCCUUUGACAUACCAAAACACAUUUGUGUCCUGCAUGGAUUUUUGAACUCGAACCUUCACUAUGUGAAGGUGCAGCAGCCAAAGGUCCUUCAAUUGACCAAGUAGCAGAAAUCAGAGUCUGAGGCAGUUCUGGUUUAAAUCUCCAAGCUAUUUCCCAAGACCUCUCCUUCUUUCUCCAUAAUAUCAAUUCAAUGCCACCUGAAACUAUCCCAUCUCCUGAUCCCGUCCAUGUGAUCGUGUCCACCUUUGUAGAUUGUACUAGUGUUGAGGUCUGGCUCCAACAAAAAGAACCUGAAUAUGAGUAAAUAAAUUUAUACAUCUAAGAGGGAUGGAAGGGAGGGCGGGGGGAGGGAGGGAGAGAGAGAGAGAGAUUUAAUAUCCAAUUAACCAAUAGUAGUAACUACUGUUAGCAAAACAAUUGCUUAAGGUUCCAUAUUCAUAUCCAGUCAGAACCAGAUCACCUCCUAAACAGAAUAGCUUUUGAGUUUAGCGCAUAGGAUCCAACUACUGCAAGAGUAGUAAUUUUAUUUCCAAGUACACUUAGAUGAUACGCAGCUCUAACUAUGUAACAUACCAAAGAAAAAAGCACCCUUUCACCAAGUUGGACAUCCUGCUGAGCCAUUCUUGUUAGGCAUUGAUUCUCAUCUAGCUUUAACCUCUAGUUUGUAAGAACCCCUGAUUGGCCUUAGAUAAUUCAGUGUUGGACUGUUGAAAUGAAAUAAGCUAAAAUAAAGCAAAAUGAACACAUGGAUUUCAGUAAAACCCACCCUAACUAAUUUGUGAUUGAGACGUGGUUGAUUAAAUUUAUUGAAUUUACGCACUAGUUCUCCAGUCAGUUUUGCGCUGUGAUCAGAGAAUUGUGUUUUACAAUUCCAACCCAAGGACCAUAAUACAGGUAACUUAAAUUGCUGCCAGAGGACAACAAGCCAAAACAUUUGCUCCUAGGGUAAGAAUAUUAUGGCCAUUCUCCAAUGCAUUACACUGCAACUCAUGCAUUGACUGUACCACACAUAUUUCUUGAUCCAGAGAUCCAGAAUGAAAGCAGUUCUACAUCAAAUUACAGGGGAUAUAUCUCAAAUAUUCAUCCAAACUAAAGCAGCGAACAUGUACCAGAAUAGUAUACACACUUUUAGAUAAGUAAAUUUGUUAAUAAAAAAGGCAACAAGACAGUGCUGGAUAGGUAGAGAAAGGAAAAAGAUUGUUCCUUUAUAGAUUAAUAAAGUAAUCAACUACAGAGCAUACUAGUAUAUAAUUCGAGAGCGAGAUCAGGAAACUGAAACUUACUAUGAGAAGCGUCAGAAUCGUAAGAAAACAAUCCAAUGCAGUUAUCGAGUGCGGCGGCAAGGUCUCCAGAAGAAGGCGUCACCGGGGACCAAGCAACGGCGGAGACAGUGCUAGUGCCGUCGAUUGAUAGCUCGAGGACCUGCUGAAAAACUGUGCCGAUUACAGUCUCAGUUUGUGAGAGAGGAUUAGGGAAUUGACGUAUGACGAGGAGAGACGAGGCACCGUAGGCAAUCCAUGAGUAGCCAGCGAAAGGCUGCCAGUCAAUU